rnacentral:rRNA from 1 species
GACGAACCGUGCAAACGUUGUUCGGAAUCACUGGGCUUAAAGGGCGCGUAGGCGGGUUCGUACGUCUGUGGUGAAAGCCCCCAGCUUAACUGGGGAAGUGCCAUGGAUACUGCGAGUCUUGAGGAGGGUAGGGGCAUCUGGAACACUGGGUGGAGCGGUGAAAUGCGUUGAUAUCCAGUGGAACUCCGGUGGCGAAGGCGAGGUGCUGGACCCUUUCUGACGCUGAUGCGCGAAAGCCAGGGGAGCAAACGGG